AGCAGCCGCGGUAAUUCCAGCUCCAAUAGCGUAUAUUAAAGUUGUUGCAGUUAAAAAGCUCGUAGUUGAAUUUCGGGAUCAGUGGGUCGGUCGUGCCACUGGUAUGCACUGGCCCUACUGGUUCCUCCUUCUUGAAGAACUGUAAUGCCAUUAAUUUGGUGUUGCAGGGAAACAGGACUGUUACUUUGAAAAAUUAGAGUGUUUAAAGCAGGCAAUCGCUUGAAUACAUUAGCAUGGAAUAAUGAAAUAGGACGAUCGAUCCUAUUUUGUUGGUUUCUAGGAUUGACGUAAUGAUUAAUAGGGAUAGUUGGGGGCAUUAGUAUUCAAUUGUCAGAGGUGAAAUUCUUGGAUUUAUUGAAGACUAACUACUGCGAAAGCAUUUGCCAAGGAUGUUUUCAUUAAUCAAGAACGAAAGUUAGGGGAUCGAAGACGAUCAGAUACCGUCGUAGU
rnacentral:rRNA from 2 species